rnacentral:rRNA from 1 species
AGGAGAGUUUGAUCCUGGCUCAGGAUAAACGCUAGCGGCAGGCCUAACACAUGCAAGUCGAGCGGCAGCGCGGAGUGGCAACACUUUGGCGGCGAGCGGCGGACGGGUGAGUAACGCGUAUGCAACCUGCCCACCACACGGGGAUAGCCGACCGAAAGGACGAUUAACCCCCGAUGGCAUCUUUUAGCGGCAUCGCCAAAAGAUUAAAUAUUGAUAGGUGGUGGAUGGGCAUGCGUGGCAUUAGUUAGUUGGCGGGGCAACGGCCCACCAAGACGAUGAUGCCUAUGGGUUCUAAAAGGAAGAUCCCACACAUCGGUACUGAGACACGGACCGAACUCCUACGGGAGGCAGCAGUGAGGAAUAUUGGACAAUGGGGGCAACCCUGAUCCAGCCAAACCGCGUGAGGGAAGGAGGUCGUUAAGAUUGUAAACCUCUUUUAUAUGGGAAUAAUCUCCUCCACGAGAUGGGGGAUUGAAUGUACCAUUUGAAUAAGCAUCGGCUAACUCCGUGCCAGCAGCCGCGGUAAUACGGAGGAUGCGGGCGUUAUCCGGAUUUAUUAGGUCUAAAGGGUGCGCAGGCGGCGCGCUAAGUCGGCGGUGAAAACCCGUGGCCCAACCACGGACGUGCCAUCGAUACUGGCGUGCUUGAGUCUGGAUGAGGCAUGCGGAAUGAGUGGUGUAGCGGUGAAAUGCUUAGAUAUUACUCAGAACACCGAUUGCGAAGGCAGCGUGCCAAUCCUCGACUGACGCUCAUGCACGAAAGCGCGGGUAGCGAACAGGAUUAGAUACCCUGGUAGUCCCCU